GUCCCUGUAGCGCAAUGGAUAGCGCGUUGGACUUCUAAUCCAAAGGUUGCGGUUCGAAUCCUACCUGGGAUG
rnacentral:tRNA from 1 species